AGGGCUUCCCACUCUGGAAGAAUUCCUGGUCUCGUGUUUCCCAAAAUGCUAUCACAAAACAUCCUUAUCUUGUCUCUUCCUAUCUAUGGUGUGUCAUUGGAAUGGCCUGAAUGAUGUUGCUAUUUGUAGCAUGGGGCUCGUGCAAAGCUUGUAUCAAUGAAGACACUUAAUUGCUCCUCCUUGCAAUAUUAUGCAAUUGGCCCUUCUCUAAUAGUUCUCCUUGUCAAUGCUGGGAUCUCAUGACUCACUGUCAUGAGGGAGCCUUCUCCUUCCUGUGAGUAGUAACUGGUUCACUUGCAAAUCUCUGUGCACUCCUGCAUACGAGAGGACGCCUCCAUCCUUUCUUGCUAACUUCCUGAAUGCAGCAAUCAGAUGUGCUCCAGAAAUGAUUGUAUUCAAAUGAAGAUAGUAGGGGCCAACAUCUUCAGCAAGCAAAUGAAAUGGUGGUUCAACCUGCAGCUCUGCCAGAACAGCCUCCAUCUCUCUCUCCAUCAAGACAAAAAUCACAGGCAGAGGACAGAAGCAAUCAAAGGAUCAUCGUCGCCUGAGGUCCAUGGAGUGGCAGGAAGCUGGAGAGAUAAGAAUGAAGGCCAGAGAAGUUUCAGCAAGUGACUCAUGGCUUUAAGAAAAGAUGGAAGAACCCUAAAUCCCAGCCAAAGCGACCUGAGAGAAGUUCUUACUCAGUCCUGAAUCACAUAUGCAGCUUAAUCCUUUGAAUGUAAGCAAAAUAAGUAGGGUCGUGAUCAGAGACCUGCAAGGAAUUGAAGCUGGGGAACAUGAGAGGCUGCUGCCCCAUGGCCAAGGCACCAUCUCCAACAAAACGGCUGGUACUAACCCUGUCCAUUUAAGCCUGAAUGAAUGAACCAAAUAUUAGCCACCUAACGAAUGUCUUUAGGGACACAGGCCUCAUGAUUUGGCUGGGGCAUUGCCUACGCUGUGUUUUUCCACAAUAAAACUUGUGUGACUGCAAAUAGGAGUUGGACU
rnacentral:lncRNA from 1 species